AAGCGGAGGAAAAGAAACCAACAGGGAUUGCCUCAGUAGCGGCGAGUGAAGCGGCAAAAGCUCAAAUUUGAAAUCUGGUAGUUCUGCUACCCGAGUUGUAAUUUGUAGAAAACUGUCUUUGUUAGGGUGCCUGUCUAAGUUCCUUGGAACAGGACGUCGCAGAGGGUGAGAAUCCCGUGUGAUGGGUGGCCCGAGCUUUUAAGGCGUUUUCGAAGAGUCGAGUUGUUUGGGAAUGCAGCUCUAAGUGGGUGGUAAAUUCCAUCUAAAGCUAAAUAUUGGCGAGAGACCGAUAGCGAACAAGUACAGUGAUGGAAAGAUGAAAAGAACUUUGAAAAGAGAGUGAAACAGUACGUGAAAUUGUUGAAAGGGAAGGGUAUUUGAUCCGACAUGGGAUUUACUCAUCAUUGCUCCUUGUGGGUGGUGCUCUGGGUUUUUUCUGGGCCAGAAUCAGUUUGUGUGGCAGGAUAAAGGCGUGAGGAAGUAGCUCUUCUGGAGCAAUAUAACUCAUGUUAAUACUGCCUAUGCGGACUGAGGAAUGCGGUUUUUACCAAGGAUUCUGGCAUAACGAUUAAAUACCGCCCGUCUUG
rnacentral:rRNA from 1 species